rnacentral:rRNA from 1 species
GACGAACGCUGGCGGCGUGCUUAACACAUGCAAGUCGAACGGAGUGGCGAACGGGUGAGUAACACGUGGGUAAUCUGCCUUGCACUUAGGAAUAAGCUUGGGAACAUGGGUCUACUACCGGAUAGUGCAAGAUGAGCUCGCGGCCUAUCAGCUUGUUGGUGGGGUAAUGGCCUACCAAGGAGUCGACGGGUAGCCGGCCUGAGAGGGUGGCCGGCGACAUUGGGACUGAGAUACGGCCCAGACGCCUACGGGAGGCAGCAGUGGGGAAUAGUGCACAAUGGGCGGAAGCCUGAUGCAGCGACGCCGCGGGGGGGAUGAAGGCCUUCGGGUUGUAAACUCCUUUCGACAGGGACGCGGUACCUGUAUAAGAAGCACCGGCUAACUACGUGCCAGCAGCCGCGGUAAUAC